rnacentral:rRNA from 1 species
AUGACAGACCCGAAUCAUACUGUGGUUGUAUGGAAUGUGCGCGGCUUAAACAGCCCUUCUAGACGCAAUUCUAUUAAUAAUGCUAUUUUGAGCUCGGGCGCGAGUGUGGUCUGUCUCCAGAAGACUAAGAUACAAAACAUGGAUGUUCAGCUUGUGCGGCGCUGCCUCGGGCCAGACUUCGAUCAGUUCUUUUGUGCACCGUCCCUUGAUACCCGUGGCGGGAUUCUACUGGCCUGCAAGUCUGCAUGCGUGCAGCUAUCGAACCCUCACAUCACGACGGACGCGGUGACAGCAUGGGUGCAAUUCCACGACUCGGUGGGAUGGUGGUUCAUAGGGGUGUACGGCCCCCGGGGGGAUGGAGACAAGGUGGUUUUCAUGCAGGAGCUCAAAGACAUUCGAGAUUUACAUGUAGGUCCCUGA